rnacentral:rRNA from 1 species
UACGUAGGGUGCAGGCGUUAAUCGGAAUUACUGGGCGUAAAGCGUGCGCAGGCGGUGAUGUAAGACAGAUGUGAAAUCCCCGGGCUCAACCUGGGAAUGGCGUUUGGGACUGGGAGUCUGGAGUGCGGCAGAGGAGACUGGAAUUCUCGGUGUAGCGGUGAAAUGCGUAGAUAUCGAGAGGAACACCUGCGGCGAAGGCGGGUAGCUGGGCCGACACUGACGCUGAGGCGCGAAAGCUAGGGGAGCGAACGGG